CCCCAGACUCCUACGGGAGGCAGCAGUGGGGAAUAUUGGACAAUGGGGGGAACCCUGAUCCAGCGACGCCGCGUGAGUGAAGAAGUAUUUCGGUAUGUAAAGCUCUAUCAGCAGGGAAGAAAGAAAUGACGGUACCUGACUAAGAAGCCCCGGCUAACUACGUGCCAGCAGCCGCGGUAAUACGUAGGGGGCAAGCGUUAUCCGGAUUUACUGGGUGUAAAGGGAGCGUAGACGGCAGUGCAAGUCUGAAGGGAAAGGCGGGGGCCCAACCCCCGAACUGCUUUGGAAACUGUGCUGCUGGAGUGCAGGAGGGGCAGGCGGAAUUCCUGGUGUAGCGGUGAAAUGCGUAGAUAUCAGGAGGAACACCGGCGGCGAAGGCGGCCUGCUGGACCGUGACUGACGUUGAGGCUCGAGAGCGUGGGGAGCAAACAGGAUUAGAUACCCGCGUA
rnacentral:rRNA from 1 species